AGUGGCCUUCACUCCCGCAUUCCUUCGGACUCUUGCAUCAUCAGACAUCUAUUUUCCUUCCACACAACACAGGGGUGCACAUGGGGCUUGGAGUGAUUUUACAGGAGACUGAAAUUGAAAGCCAGUGAAACAUAUUGAGUUUAUAGAAGUGGUAGUGUUGCAGCUCAACUUAUGUCACAGAACUGUUCCGGUACAAUGAAUCUCGAGGCGGAAAUAGGAGUGGCACCCUGUCCUAUUUCCCCUAGUGAUCCACUAGUAAAAUUUUUGCUUCCUGUUACUGCACCGUCUGCUCUGCUGAUCUAAAAGUCUUAGCUCCAAAGGGAGGAAUACUGCUACCAGGAGACACAACAAUCAUUCCACUGAAUUGAAAGUGAAGACUGCCACCCAACUGCUUUGGGCUCUUCAUGCUUCUCAGUUAACAAAGAAGGGAGUUCUCGUCGCUGUGCUGGCUGGGGUGAUUGAUCUGGGUUUCCAAGGGAAAUCGGGCUGCUACUUCAUGAUGAAGCACACUGCCGGCCGCAAGGCCGAGCCUCCAAUGCCACGGACUGGGGAUACCUUCUCUCCACUUCCGUCUGCCGUGGGCAAACUUGCCGGCAAAGCUUCCUGAGAAGCACGGUUCCUGGCACAUCAUUGUGUGCCCUGACAGUUACAGUUCACAUCUGGAGAGCCUGCUGCCAUCUGAGAAGAUUCCUUCAGCAAGGCUUAAAUCAAAAUGAGGGAUUCCUGGGUAGCUGAUGAAGAAACAGUCUAACAAGGGGUUUCGAACAAUUAUUUUAAUUAUAAUGAAGUGAAGUCAAGGUAACUUUGAACAGGCCAUUAUCAUUGUGCUUGAGGAAAGAAUUUUCAAAAUCCCAAGCUACGGUGAACCACGGCUUCGGCAAUACAAAAAGGAUUGAGACAGACAUUCUCUUUUCCUAUGAAAAGCUCUCGAUAGAGUGAUGGCAAUUUAUAUUGCGUUGAAGGCCGGAUUGAAGUUUUGCUUCAGCCAAUCUCUUACCACUGGAUCUUCCUCUGCAGUCUUCAAUCGCAUUUAGUUAUGCUCUUUCUUAAACACACACACACACACACACACACACACACACACACGUACAUCCCAAUCCCCUCAUCUUACCAAUACCCACUCAAGCUUUUCUCUUCCUUUCUGUGCUAACUCCAUUUGCCAGCAUUCCCCAGACCACCUUGAUCUGGAUUCAGAUACACUCCAUCUGGUUUUCAUGUUCACUCAUAAGUCCCUCCCCUCCUCCAACAUGGUCACUCCUCUCUUACCGUAUUUUCCUCCACCAUCUAUCUCACUCAGAACCUGGGAUUUAGUAGAUGCUGAAUAAUGUUCGCUGAAUGAAACCUACUGAACUUUCUCUGGCCUUACUCUGUCUCUAAUUCUACUGCUCCCACGAUUUUCUCGCCUGUCAUUCCACCGAUGUUAUUAAAUUUAU